rnacentral:rRNA from 1 species
AAAACUUUCAACAACGGAUCUCUUGGUUCUGGCAUCGAUGAAGAACGCAGCGAAAUGCGAUAAAUAAUGUGAAUUGCAGAAUUCAGUGAAUCAUCGAAUCUUUGAACGCACAUUGCGCCC